rnacentral:sRNA from 1 species
GGCCUCCCAAAGUGCUGGGAUUACAGGCUUGAGCCACCGCGCCCGGCUAGUUGCAGAUUUCUUUGUUUCUUUCUCCACUCCCACUGACUCACUUGACUGGCCUAAA